rnacentral:rRNA from 1 species
GACGAACGCUGGCGGCGCGCCUAACACAUGCAAGUCGAACGGAGCAAAGAGGAGCUUGCUUUUCUUUGCUUAGUGGCGAACGGGUGAGUAACGCGUGAGUAACCUGCCCUGGAGUGGGGGACAACAGUUGGAAACGACUGCUAAUACCGCAUAAGCCCACGGAGCCGCAUGGCUCUGAGGGAAAAGGAGAAAUUUGCUUCAGGAUGGACUCGCGUCCAAUUAGCUAGUUGGUGAGGUAACGGCCCACCAAGGCGACGAUUGGUAGCCGGACUGAGAGGUUGAACGGCCACAUUGGGACUGAGACACGGCCCAGACUCCUACGGGAGGCAGCAGUGGGGGAUAUUGCACAAUGGGGGAAACCCUGAUGCAGCGACGCCGCGUGGAGGAAGAAGGUUUUCGGAUUGUAAACUCCUGUCGUUAGGGACGAUAAUGACGGUACCUAACAAGAAAGCACCGGCUAACUACGUG